UCUGGAGUUCCCACUGCACUCACCUGUGUCGCGGUGAUGUUUCUGGUGUACCACUGGUCCAGUGGAGAUGGAGUCCAUGACCUCUUGGUCAGUAAGCCUGUGUCAAAAUGGACGCCGGAGGAGGUUCUGUUCUGGUUGGAACACCUUGGGGCUUGGACCUCUGUCUAUAAAGAACCCUUCCUACAGGAGAACGUUAAUGGACGGUUAUUGUUGAUGCUCGGUGAUGAGGAGCUGACCAGAGCUCCUAUAACACCCAGAGCGG